AUUGAACGCUGGCGGCAGGCUUAACACAUGCAAGUCGAGCGGGGGGAGGUAGCUUGCUACCGGACCUAGCGGCGGACGGGUGAGUAAUGCUUAGGAAUCUGCCUACUAGUGGGGGACAACAUCGCGAAAGGGAUGCUAAUACCGCAUACGUCCUACGGGAGAAAGCAGGGGAUCGUCGGACCUCGCGCUAAUAGAUGAGCCUAAGUCGGAUUAGCUAGUUGGUGGGGUAAAGGCCUACCAAGGCGACGAUCUGUAGCGGGUCUGAGAGGAUGAUCCGCCACACUGGGACUGAGACACGGCCCAGACUCCUACGGGAGGCAGCAGUGGGGAAUAUUGGACAAUGGGGGGAACCCUGAUCCAGCCAUGCCGCGUGUGUGAAGAAGGCCUUAUGGUUGUAAAGCACUUUAAGCGAGGAGGAGGCUACUUUAGUUAAUACCUAGAGAUAGUGGACGUUACUCGCAGAAUAAGCACCGGCUAACUCUGUACCAGCCGCCGCUGUAA
rnacentral:rRNA from 1 species